AUUGAACGCUAGCGGGAUGCCUUACACAUGCAAGUCGAACGGAGUGGCGAACGGGUGAGUAAUGUAACGGAACGUGCCCAUUAGCGGGGGAUAACUACGCGAAAGCGUAGCUAAUACCGCAUACUAUUGGAGCGGCCGAUACCGGAUUAGCAGGUUGGGGGGGUAACGGCUCACCAAGGCGACGAUCCGUAGCGGGUUUGAGAGGACGACCAGCCACACUGGAACUGAGAAACGGCCCAGACUCCUACGGGAGGCAGCAGUGGGGAAUUUUGGACAAGGGGGGAAACCCUGAUCCAGCCAUCCCGCGUGGGGGAUGAAGGCCUUCGGUUUUUAAAGCACUUUUAGCAGGAAAGCGGUACCUGCAUAAUAAGCACCGGCUAACUACGUGCCAGCAGCCGCGGUAAUAC
rnacentral:rRNA from 1 species